CCGAGCAGCCGGGGUGUUAGCGGUACCCUGUACCUACAAUCCGCUAUAGUAGGGGUGAUAUCCUGUUUCGGGUUUGAAGGGGCAGAGCUGCCCUUUAUAAGUGGCGUUGAUGUCCGGGUCUUAAGCGACGGAAAUCUGUGAAUCGGGUCAGGUUGGGAACAAAGCAGCCCUAAGCAGAACCUUUCGGGUGCCUUAAGGGUGCCUGGGCUGAGUUAACUGUAAAGGUAACGUCUGUUUUGGAUCAUUCAACGCAGGAUGCUCGG
rnacentral:SRP_RNA from 1 species